AUUUCAGGCGAGCCGAGCCCCAGAGCCAUGUGUCUGGUGCGCAGUGUUAACAGGGCAGUUAUACCUUUUACAGACAACUGUGGCUCCAAGUCAAGUAUGAACUUACACAAACAGUUUAUAUAACAAGUGGAGGUGUGCGCCUGCGUGCCAAACUUGCUGACUCGUGCAGGCCUGGAUACCCGCCUCAGACUAUUCCUUGACCGAAGCACUUCCAGGGCAGGAAACUGAAGCUCUUGGGAAGGUGGAAGUUGCACGUGGUCUCACAGUCAACUGUGCCAGAAUAGGAGGCCAGGAACCAUCUCUGCUGGAGGAAGACCCACCACGCAUCCCUUCAAGAAUGCCAAGGUCCAGAGCAAGUGCUUCCCUUCUAUGGGCACAGGAGGGCUGUGGGAGCCCACAGAAUGUGCUUCUGGCCAGAGUGGGAUCCCCGAGGAAGAUGUUAAGACCUCUAAUAAUAUUUAAGAGCAAAAUUAGCACAGCUCCAGCCCAUGGGCAAGUUAAGAGACAGGAGUAGUGUCUGUGGAGUGGAGGAAAGCAGAGGCUGCCGCUGACCAUCCUGCAGCCCUCGCUCUGGCUGCUCACAGCUCUCCACCUUCUCUGGACUUCGUCACUUCAGUAUGUGAAACAACCAUUUCAACCAGCUUGGACAAAAGAGAGAAGCCAAGAUGGGGCUGAGAAACCAAUGCAGGCAGGCCCAGGGACCCAGGAGUCAGGGACCAGGUGCUACCAGAUGCUUGCUCCGACUCGUGUUGCUGCUGUCUUCUCUGUGCCUCAACUCUGUCCUCUGUCACUGCAGGCAGCUUCCUCCCAAGGUGAUGGAGACCAUGCCAUUGCUAGUCUACCUUGAAAGACAGAUGUGAAGAAUGAAGUCAGGGGCUUUGCAGGAAGGUGAUAUAUCCCACCUCAUGAAAUCAGGCUUCACCACAAGAUUGCUUUGACCAAGGGGACGUGAGUAGAAGUUUGAAGAACCACAGACUGGUCCAUCACCUUGUUUCUUAUCCCUCUGACAUAAGCAAUGUCCCAGACUGGGGCUGUUCUGUUAGCCUGGCUUCCAGAAUGAAGAGAGCUGAUCUACAUGGCAUAUGUAAGAUAAAUAAACCUUUGUUAUUACAAACCACUGAAACUUGGGGCUUCUUUGUCACAGCAGAUGAAUUUAGCCUAACUAUCCAAUACAGGUGUCUUGAGAAGAAACAGCAACAGGAGAAGAAGAAGAAACAGCAACAGCAACAGGACGAAGAGUUGUUUUGGGGGAAAAAAGGAUGAUCCAGGGUGAAAUGUAAUAAUUCUGAGGUGGCCAUUGAAUACCUCAGGGGGUGUCAAAUGGUUGACUUAUAAAUGAUGAAACUGAGUCUCAGUGAGAUCAUUUGCCCAUGGUCACACAGAAGCUGGAGAUAUAGAUUUGGAAACUGUGUGUGCUGAGAGGGGAUGGUCACUAAGGGCAACUUUGUAGAGAGAAGGAUGGGGAGCAAGUAAGAGUCAAAGCUGGGUCUCUCAGAAAGUCAAGAGACAAGCCAGGAUGGGCCAUGACAGAGCAGGGGCAGACAUGUUAAGAGAAGAAAACAUGGGACAGGAGGUUCCCAAAACUGAGGAAAGGCCUUGGGGUGUGGCAAUUACAAAGUCACUGGAGGCCUUUGGAAAAGCUAUUUUUGUAGAAUGCCAAGAGUGGCAGCCACAUAGCAGAUGGUUGAGGAGGGACUGUGGAUUGAGAAAGUGAAGGUGCUUUUCUGAGAAGUUUCUCUGUCAAGGUGAAAAGUAAAUAGAAUAUGUGAGCAGCAAGGUCCAGUGAAGAAUUUUUAUGUUGGACAUCUGUGUAUGUUUCUGGGCAAAGGGGAGAGAAUGAGGAAAAUGUGAGAGGCUGGAGACACUGGAGAGCCCUUGAGGAUCACCGGCCGGGAUGCGAGCAGGAGCUGAGGCAUCAGGAGUCGUGGAGAAUGAUGUGGCCUGGACGCUGGGCAGACUCUGCUCCUCAGAGCAAGAAGCAAAGGGGAAUUGCUUGAAAGGCGAGUGAUGUGUGGAAGAGGAAAGCAGGGCAGAGGGAAAACCUGGAGUGUGCCUAAUGGCUUUGACUUUCCUGACAAAGUUGGAAGGGAGGCUGAGGAUAGGAGGUCAGGAAAAGGCGAGGAAGGGGCUCCAGGAAGCUGCAGGAGAUGAAAUGUCUUGGGCAGCAGUCUCCAGUCCAACAGCAGAGGCAAACGGCAUUGUGAGCAGAACGAAGUAAUCAUUCAAAGCAAGAAUGCGUAUGUAGUUAGGUUCUGUGGUUUUCUAUGGCCAUCUCUUUAGCCUGGGAGCAAAAACUAGAGAAUGAGAGGCAGAGAGAGACCCCAGAUCAGACAUUUGCCUAAGACAAGGGACAAGAGUGAGGCACACAUGAGUCUAGACAUUGGAGCAAGGGGCUGCCCAUGGCAUGGGUAGCUGACAAGGAUUUGAGCAGGGCCACAGGGGGUGAACAGAAUGGAGACACUGAACUGCUUGCCGGGGAUUGGAGGAGUCAGCAAUGAGAUGUGGCCUUGGUGGUCUGGGGCGGCUAUGGAGAGAGGGAGAUUUGUGAAGCUCUCCAGGAACAAGUUGCUAUUUUAUUUUAUUUUACUAUUUUUUU
rnacentral:lncRNA from 10 species